GCGGGCGUAGUUCAGUGGUAGAACGUCAGCUUCCCAAGCUGAAUGUCGGGGGUUCGAGUCCCCUCGCCCGCU
rnacentral:tRNA from 1 species